CCUACGGGAGGCAGCAGUGAGGAAUAUUGGACAAUGGGCGCAAGCCUGAUCCAGCCAUGCCGCGUGCAGGAUGACGGUCCUAUGGAUUGUAAACUGCUUUUGUACAGGAAGAAACAGUUCUACGUGUAGAACCUUGACGGUACUGUAAGAAUAAGGAUCGGCUAACUCCGUGCCAGCAGCCGCGGUAAUACGGAGGAUCCAAGCGUUAUCCGGAAUCAUUGGGUUUAAAGGGUCCGUAGGCGGUUUAGUAAGUCAGUGGUGAAAGCCCAUCGCUCAACGGUGGAACGGCCAUUGAUACUGCUAAACUUGAAUUAUUAGGAAGUAACUAGAAUAUGUAGUGUAGCGGUGAAAUGCUUAGAGAUUACAUGGAAUACCAAUUGCGAAGGCAGGUUACUACUAAUGGAUUGACGCUGAUGGACGAAAGCGUGGGUAGCGAACAGGAUUAGAUACCCUGGUAGUCCACGCCGUAAACGAUGGAUACUAGCUGUUGGAAGCAAUUUCAGUGGCUAAGCGAAAGUGAUAAGUAUCCCACCUGGGGAGUACGUUCGCAAGAAUGAAACUCAAAUGAAUUGACCGGNUGAGAGNGCGACGACGACGACGAGGGAGGAGG
rnacentral:rRNA from 1 species